GUCAGAAGCAAUUCGAGGCAGUACAGCACAGGGUGGAAAAACUGAUAGAUGUGGGAAGGUGUAAAUUCAUACAGAAUAUGUAUUGAUGAAGUUGUCUUCCAGCUACCCAGGACAGCUGUAGAGGCCACCCAGCUAUGGCAGCAGCCCACACGAACUCCCACCUCCCUGCAGAUUGUUCACAGGUCAUCCACAUUGAGGAGAGCUUUUGUGUGAUAAAAAGUGAGGUAAACCCAACAUAUCUAGGGCAGUUACACUCAUCUGAUCGGAUCCUACAGCCAAGUAGAUGGAGGUGCAAGGUGUGCCCUGCACGUUUCAGACAAGGCCUUUCCCCAGGGACUGUCUGAGCGUCUGUAAAUGCUCGCUGCCCGACUCCACAGGUCGUCCCUGGAAGCCAAUGAUGCCUGUCACGAGUUAAUGUGCUACUAUUUGGGAUCGAAACUGUGGGUACCAACUAGCAGGAAUCAAGAAAAAAAACGCCCUGAAACUCUUCAGGCUCUUUCACACCAGGAUUUCAUUAUAAAGGCCCUUAUGUACAAUAGCUGCACCCAUUUAAGCACAAGGUGUUUCACUGAAAAGUGAGAGACUCCGAUGCCAGGGAAGAAAGUACAGAGGUUGCAACACUCCUGGGAAGCUGUGAUGAAUUCAGCAGCCUGUUUCAUUUCUGCACUAGUUGUGAAACCACCUCUUUGUCCUCAGCGAGGUGAGUUUUGCCUGCCCUUGCCAACCUGUAUGG